rnacentral:rRNA from 1 species
AGGCUAAUACGUGAACGUAACCCCCCGCUGACGGGCGACCGGAGGCUGGGGACCGUGCGAGUAGGCGCAAAGUUUAUUGGGAGUAGUCGCACAGUACGACCACCAUACCAAACGGUAUCCGCUUCGCCGCCUCACGGCGGCGGGCGGUGUCCGGGUGGCUCUUGCAAGGUGCUUCUGACCUAUCAACUAGAUGGCAGCGUAACGGACAUGCUAUGGUGACAACAGGUACAGACG